AUAUAUAUAUAUAUAUAUAAUGAAAAAAAUUUAAUUCACAAUCUUCAUCAAAGUUUUGGUUGCUUUUUCAGGUGUAAAACGUUUUAUAUUUAUAUAGUAAUAUUCAUCAUGCGAACUCAUCUUUUUUUAAUCACCACCGAAUGUAAAGAACCAGGGGCUUGUAAUAUGAAAACUGAAAAUGCAUGCAUGUGAUCAUAGCACAUUUCAGUUAUUAUUAUUGUUUAUAUUAAUCUAUGGGUCAUUAUUUCAAUGUCAGUGAAGUAAAGCAAAGUGCUUCACAAUGUUAAAAGCUAUUUUCAUGCUCUCAUCUUGGAUGGGAUGAUAGCCCAAAUAAAAAAAUUUGGAAGCAUAAAGUAUUGAAGCAUAUGGGUAGCAUUAUUCAAUUUGGGAUGUAAUAUGCAAAAUGACAAUGCAAUAUGUCAAAUGGCAAUGCAUUUCUGUAUUUACAUUUACAUUUUCCAAUACAUUUGUGCAACAAUGAGAGAGAACUAUUUGCACUGUUUUUAUCAGUGGGACAAUAUUCAUACAAUACUACAACCUAGAAAUAAUUUGCAGGUCUCAGCAGCACAAAUUAUGUGCCCAGCUAUAUCUGAUUCAAUUCUUAAGCUAAUUAACAGUGAGCGGUGGCUUCAGACAUUAAAGUGCUUCACUCGCACUGACUUUUAUUCUGCCUGAAAGAAUAAAAAGACCGAGCUGAAGACGGAGCGAUUCGACCAAUCAGAUGAAAGCAGCGUUUCAGCUCCACUCACAAGUGUGAAUGAAAUAUUGAAGCCAUAAACCGAAAUGAUCAAAACUUACACGGACCAUCUGUCUUGUCCAUGUUCUCUCACUUGAAUCCUCUUCUUGAGAUUUGAGUCUCUGACCUUCUGUAAGCCCCACCUUGUUCAAGCAGUGAUUGACAGGGUGGGAGGGGGCUGAGAUGUGAUUGGCUCAGAAUGCAUUUUCAAUGUGCACUUUGAAUUUGCUACAUUCAUUGCGGGACACCGAAUGAAAAUACAAUCGUAAGUGUCUUGACUGUGAGUGUUAAUGCAUUUAAGAAAAAUAGCAUUUAAAUGAUGAAUUUUGCUUGAACAUGUUAGACAUACAGUAUAUAAUCUUUUCUGUAAUACAUUUUCAUUUUCAUUUUGCAACUUAUAAAGCGUUAAAAUCAAUAUUCAUUUUACAUAUUAAAACUGGUGUAGGAAAUGACAAAUGAAAAUUAUGUAAUUUAAUUUUCAUUUUCAUUUUGCACCAAACGUUGCACAAAUGUAUUGGAAAAUGUAAAUACAGAAAUGCAUUGCAAUUUUACAUAUUGCAUUGUCAUUUUGCAUAUUACAUCCCAAAUUGAAUAAUGCUACCCAUAUGCUUCCAUACGACUUGAACUUGAAGAGCCAUAUUAAGGUGAAUUCAUAUCUGGUGGUGAUAUUGUAAAUGCAAAAAAUACACAAACUACUAAAGUUAUGAACUCUUACAGGGCAGCACAGGACUUUUACUAUUGUUCAUUUAUUUUUGUUAGUUUGUUUUCCUUUCUUUUGUAAUGUAUCCUGUAUAAUGAAUGUUGCUGCUUCUACUCUGUAUAAGCGAUGUUGCAACAUUCUGUUGUCAUUAUGGUUUUGGUAAUAAAAUACCCUUACAUGUUAACCAGCGUGAAGUGUUACAUGAAAGUGAGUGGAGUUUGAUCCCUUUGACUGGAGAGAGGUCAUCUCUACACUACUGAGAGAAACUUCUGGGUUCAUUCACUGGAGACCCUCUAUAAAUGGACUAUUACUAAGUUAAAGACCCCUGUCUGUUUCUAGUCUUUCAUUUUGCUCCUCUUGAGAUCUUUGAUUCAGCUUUGUUCAAUUCUGCAGGAUGAGAAAGAUAACUUUUCACUGUUGUUUUGUUUUUGAUGGGUUUGAAUGAUAUUUAAUGUGCAUGUGUGAACAGUACUGAAUAUUAAUUAGUAUCAGUAAGAAGAAUUAAUAAUGAACAAUGGGAUACUAUUAACAAAUUAUGCUCAGAUUUAGUUAAGGUUGCUGCUGUUGCAUUUUUACUUACCUAUUUAAAGUAAAGUAUGUACAUAUGUUGUUGUUUAGUAUUACAUACUUGGGUAUUAAUUAGAAUGAACGUUUUCCCAGGCAUGGAAAUAUCCAAAUGAUGUGUCAUUAAUAACCCUUUAAAAUAAUAAAUAAUUAUUUUUUUCUUUUUUGGGGGGAAAAGUGUGUGAAAAAUUGUGUUUUAUGUUCGGUCACAAUGGUAUAAUGUGUGUACUGAAAUAACAUAUAUCGUUUUUUUUCCCCUUGAAAUAUCAGCUUCAGAAUCAUUCUGAUGGUAAGGAAGAAAUUCUGAGAAAAACAAUUGCUUUAUGACAGUGAUAUAUUUGUGACAUUCUCAUCCACAGAAUUCGAAAUGAUUACUAAAACUAUAGUCACAGCUAUAGUUAUAGUCAUAGCUGAGGUCUGUUCUCAGCAAGAAUGAUAAGUGUGGACUUCUCUAUUCUCAUGAAACCAGAUAUGAGCAAGUCUCAUAGUCUGCUAAAGCAUCUCUUGACUGAUGAUGAUAGUCUGACAGCAGAGAUCUACAUCGAUGCGGUUCAGACUCUCAUCAUGGAGAUCGGAGCCCUUAUCCUCAUGGGCUUCAGUGAGUGACCGUGGCAGUCAUUGAUUUAAGUCUUGAAGCCUUUAAUACAAUAAUAAUAUACUCUUCUCAAUGUUGCUGUGAAGGUGUUUUGGAGGUUGGGGGAUUUCAAGUUGUCCUGGAUAAGUUUUCUCAGGUGUUCUGACCAGGUAAAGAACCAGUUUAUUAUUAUUUUUAUUUUUUUGUUAAGGUGGUUUGUUCAUGCUAAAGGAGGCUCUUUACUCGCUGCUUACCCCUUCUUCAUGAUGGUGAUUCCAGGCGUGAUUAGCAGGAUACUUUACCACUGGGUGUGUCUGAAAUACACCAAAGUUUAAGACCUCUGAACAUCUAAAAGCACGAUUUGUUAUCUUAAAAUGUAUGUGAACGUGUUUGUGAAUUGUAGACGAGGUAGGCUGUGGAGACCCAAAUGUGUGUAAAACAGUUUGUGGGAAUCCGGUGGGCUUCUUGGGACAUUGCUUAAACCAGACUGCUAAUGGAGCUUCUCCUGCAGGUCUGAGGGGUUUAAUGAUGGCUGUGGUGUUGGCUGCUCUCAUGUCCUCUCUGACUUCCAUAUUUGACAGUUCCAGCACUAUUUUCAUCCAUAGACCUUUGGAGAAACAUCUGCUGCACUGCCUCCGAGUGGGAACUCCUGAUUGUGGGAAGGUAUGCCAUCAACAAGUUGUUAUCACGUAGAUUUUAAAGGACAGUUCAUCUUUUUCUCCAUCCUGUAAAGGGCUAUUUGCAUUUAAAUGUAACCAGAAAGACAAACAUUGGACCGUUUACUUGGAAAUUAUAGAUGGGUCGAUGUCAACCUCCAUUAAUGGAUAGAUGUUACAUUUUUGAUGGAAAUGAAAAUUGGGUUGACAUUCAAUUUUAUGUUGGCUUUGCAAACUUGCGAAGAGGUGGUCCAUUUCUGGAAACAUUUCAGAAUUUCUCGAAACUUUACAGUAUUUUUUGGAAACUUUCAGAAAAUCUUGACUUUUUUUAGUAAGUGUCUGAAAGUUUUUGAUCCCUUUGCAACCCUACUUAGAUCAACUUGCAUUUGGACAGACCCCUGGUUAAUUAAAACCAAUGAAAUAUCGGUGUCUAAUGAUGUUGUAAUCUAAUGUUGUGUGGAUAUUAACAUUAUGAUGUUUUAGCAUGUUGGUUUUUGAUUGCCAUAGGCUACCUCGCGAUUGACUGUCAAUGUUUAAUGUCAAUGUGAUGUUUGAAAGAGAUAGAAUUUUGGUAACAAAAAUAUCAACAUCAACAGUAUUUGUCAAUGUUCUCCAUCAAAUUGACACUGGCAUUAGACAUUGUCCUGACACAGAAUGGCUGUUUACAUUUAAAAGUACUCAGAAAUGCUAUAACAUCAGACAGAUGUUGAUUUGGUUGGAUGUCAGAACUUAUAUUCAACCAAAUAUCAACAUCUUACAAUGUUGGGUGUCUAGAACAAAUAAAAUCCUUCUUUUGUUGGUGAGCGUUUGUUUCUGGUAAAUCAACGUAAUUUUGUCAUUCUACGACUGCAAAUGCUAAAUUGUCGUGCUCUUGUAAAGCUGGACUGUUUCAGCUGUGUGUGUGUGUGUGUGUGUGUGUUGGUGUCAGUGCUGUGGAUUCCUCUGGUUCAGGCCAGCCAGGGAGGGCAGCUCUUCAUCUACAUCCAGUCUAUCAUCAUCAGAGUAUUUGAGGUGACCUUUUUUUGUGGAAAUUUUAGUUUGAAAACACUACUUAUUUAUACUACAAAAUGGCACAGAAUAGUGCAUAAGAAUGCGAUUUAUGACACCUGGUAAUCAGUCAUUCUCAUUCAUUUUUCUGUUGUGUUGGGUGCAUUCUGGGGUCUGAUAGUGGGCAUGGUGGUAGGCUGUAACUAAGUUAGCAACUUUGUUGGUUGCAAUACAAUUUCCCAUUGCCAACCAACUAAGGUGCUAACAGGUUAGCAACUAUGCUUUUGGGAAACGCACCCCAGGUUAGAAAACAUUUCUGGCUUCCAUACUGUAGUAUGGAGAAAAAGUAUCAUAGGAAUCAUCGGCUACCUUCAAAUAAUUGGUUACAGGCAUUUUCCAGAAUUACAAUUAUUGGGUGAAUUAUCUGUUUAAUUUGUGAAAUAAACUCAUAUAAAUUAUUUGGUAUUUUCCAGAUCAGUCGUUUGACGUGGUACACACACGAUCCUGUGACAGAGGUUGUGGUUUCAGAUUUUCAGACGAUCGAGGAUGACCCACAAUACUCAAAAGACAUGGAAAAUGAUGCAUAUCCUUCAAAAGAGGGUACUUUGACCAAUCCAUAUGCAGGCACAGAUAAAUGAUGUUGUAAAUUGUAUAAUUUAUCCCGCUCUAUUUCUUUGAUAGUCCAGUUUUCCAGCAGAGGGAGACAAAGUCAUUUCAUGUUUUUCAAUGUCUUUAAAUGAGGUGAAAGAAAAAAGAAAAAAAAAUGGAGGAACAGAACUCUCUCUAAGAAUUACUUAAAUAUCUACAUCACAAUUCAUAUCUGAGCAUCAUUGAUUUAGAUAAAAUGCACUAAAUCUCCUAAUUAUAUUCAUGUAGAUAAUACUUGUUUUCAUGUAAUUCUGAAUGCAUUAUUUGUCAGCAGACUCCAGUAGUUCUGCGUCCAGCAAUGCGAGUUCAUCUAAACUUAAAUCUGUUCUGGAUCUGUGGAAUGGAGAAGCAGAGAGGAGAGGAAGACCCCUGUAUAAGACAUCUUGUAAACACCAAGCUCAUCGUCUGUCUGUAUAUCAGUGGCCGUAUUUCUCUUCGCUUACUGGCCACAGUCACUUGUCCUUUAUAAUGUAUUGUUUAUUGUGACUGCAGUGAAAGAAAAUCUCCACGCAGUAUGUACUUCAUAAUAAAACAAUAUUCUUAUUUAUAAUA